rnacentral:rRNA from 1 species
UGCCAGCCGCCGCGGUAAUACGUAGGGAGCAAACGUUGUCCGGAUUUAUUGGGCGUAAAGGGCUCGUAGGCGGUUCAACAAGUCGGUCGUGAAAGCCCGGGGCUCAACCCCGGAAGUGCAUUGGAAACUGGUGAACUUGAGUACGGGAGAGGAAAGUGGAAUUCCGAGUGUAGGGGUGAAAUCCGUAGAUAUUCGGAGGAACACCAGUGGCGAAGGCGGCUUUCUGGACCGAUACUGACGCUGAGACGCGAAAGCGUGGGGAGCAAACAGGAUUAGAUA